AGUUAUAUAGCUCAGUGGUAGAGCACGUGGCUCACAUGCACAAGGCCUUGGUCUGGGUUUGAGCCCAGUACUACAG
rnacentral:tRNA from 1 species